CGAUUCAGCCUAGGAUGAGAUCGCAUGGAGGUAUGAAUCGAGAUCGCGAUUCAGCCUAGGAUGAGAUCGCACGGAGGUAUGAAUCGAGAUUGCGAUUCAGCCUAGAAUGAGAUCGCAUGGAGGUAUGAAUAGAGAUUGCGAUUCAGCCUAGGAUGAGAUGUAGCAGCGCUUGGUUUGAUGCAAUGGAUCUCCCUGCUAAGACAAACAUGACAGAAUCUAUGUCCUGUAAGAAUGAGAUCGCACGGAGGUAUGAAUCGAGAUUGCGACUCAGCCUAGGAUGAGAUCACAUGGAGGUAUGAAUCGAGAUUGCGACUCAGCCUAGGAUGAGAUCGCAUUGAGGUA